rnacentral:misc_RNA from 1 species
UUUUGCAUCCCAUAGACAACUCUUAUAAAAUGAUUAAAAAAAAAAAAAACUUUUAACCACAGCAUAUGAUCACUCACCUGCUCCUUGAAUUAUGCUGGGACUACGGAGCUUCUACGUGUUAAAAUGCGAGCUUGUGUAGUUGUAGGUUCGAUUGUCUAUUUGUUCUUUAAUAACUAUGAAAUAUGAAGUAUAGAUUUAUUUUAUCAAAGUUAAAUAAAAGAAAAUUUAUAUAUAUAGUUUUUCAAAAGUGAUGAGAUUAUAUUGAAAUUUUAACAUCUAACCUCUUGUAAUAAGCAACAAAUACUCGAUUAUUAAAUUAUUAGAGUAGUCCAAUGACAGAUCAAUGAAACCAUAAAUUAUAAGGUUGUUGAAUUCUUUUAAUGAAAGAAUAACUGUCUUUAUAUAAAGCAACAAUAAAAUUGUAGACAAUUAAUAUAUUUUUCUAAUUAAAUUUUCUUAUUAAAUAAAUUUAAAAUAAUUAUCAUAUUGUUGAUAUAUAAUUGAUAUUAGAUUCAUAUUAAAUAGCAAUUAAUAUAAAUUAAUGUGCUGAUGUUCCAUUAAUUAUUUUAUAUAUUGCUCAAU